CGUUUGGCUUCCGGUGCCCCGCCGCUUGCACUUCGCGGGGCUGCAAUCCUGUGCACGUUUACUUACGAGUAAAACCCACUGAACGGAGCGGGAUUUUCUUCCAGGGAAACAUGCCAGCGAUUGCUUUGUUAACGUCUUCGUUGGGUCUUCCAGAAUAAUAAAAGGAGGAGGAUGCUUAUGUUUUUUGCAACGCUCCAAUCGUGUAACUUCUGCAGAUUUUUGGCAACUUCGUCUGAAAGGGAAAUACCCAACUCUCCUCUCAAAAAGGUUAUGAAAACAGUUGUGUGUAAGGCUAUGUGUGACUAGUGCUGCAUGACAUCACUGAGGAUGGUAACACAUUCUAUUCCACCCUCCCCAUAAUCUCUGGAGUAGUUUUCCAGCUGUUCUAAAAAAGAUUUCAUACACACACAGAAAUGCACAGAAUGAGCACAUACAUGCAAAUGUGCUUCUAUAAACAAGAAAACAGAGUAGUGCCAAGGCUGCCCUGACCUCUCACUCACUAUUUAAAGAUUUGUUUAUUUUAAACCACACUUUACUGAGCAAUGCUGCACUACAGCAAACAUUUAUCAUUAUUUUUACUUAAAGGAAUGAACAGGAUUUCUCCACGGCAAGGUUCAUUUUCUUCUUCACUACAUCUGUCUGUUAAAUCAGUUAUAGAAGCUGAACUGGGGUGUGUGAGAUGUGGUACCAAAGACAAGGUCAAAAUGGCCAAAGAUCUCAACAGAGUUAAGAGAGGUACUGAGGACCAAACAGUCAUGGGAGGUAAGAGAGGAGAGCAAGAGUCAGCAAAGAAAUAAUAACAAUAAGGAUUUUUAAAGAUUAAAAAUGAAGAAGUGGGUGGUAUCCUGAAUGAGAAGAAAGUAACAAGGAUGUUGUGAGCUAAGGGGAGGAGAGGAGUCUCACCGUUGUGCGACAUGCCCAGGGAGAGGCAUUUCUGAAAGCGGCAGUACUGGCACUUGUUUCGGUUCUUCUUCUGAAUUUUACAGCUCCGCUCACACCUCUCGUACUCCAGUUUCAUACGGAUUGUUCGACGAAAGAAGCCCUGUUGGAGAGCGGGCAGAGGGAGAAAAGAAACAGGGAGAUGGGUCAUUGCGAUAACACAGCAGCUCCUUAUAAAAUGUCCCAGGAUUACUGUCAACUUGAGUCUCAGGACAGAAUAUCAUUUUCAGCAACAAGCAAAGAGACUUCAGAACAAUGGAACACACUACAUGCUAGCAUACACAUGGAGAAGGACUGAAGGCAGGACAACACUCCCAGCUUAUGAACUGAUUGCUUACAAAGUAGGCUUUGUAUGGACAAGCAUAACAAUAUUUGGAACUCGUUUAUUAAAAAAUAUGGUAGGUUAUAAAUAACCAUAAAUCUAUCUGUAUAAUAGUAACAUUCAUAUACCUACAUACUAGACUUGCAUAUAUGGAAUUGUAGUAUAUAGUGAUAUAAUGUACCUUUUAUUUUUAUUUCUUUAUGCACUUUUAAUUUUUACUUUAUUUUGUUCAAUUGAAAUAUUCUUAAAAAAAAUUUUUUAACAUACACAUGGAGAAAAGAAUGGUACAAGCAGGAAGAAAGCCUAAACAUAAUUGUCCCGUGUAAAAAAACAGCAAAAAACAGACUUGUAGUAUCACAAAGAUCCAGCAGGGGGAUAUGAAUAAACAAAUCCAGCUUUUCAACAUCCUUGUCUCUCUCCCUUCAGCUUCCCCGCCCCCGCCCCCUUUGAAUAAUUUUGGCAUCACUUAGACAUUGAAUAACUCAACUCCUUUGGCAUUCUGCGAUUCCAACAGCCAGCCAAAUGAUCAGGAGCAGAAUAGGUUCACAGGUGUCCCAUGGAGUAUGUCAGCCAAAGAUUAUGUCUAAAAGUAAUGUCUAUGUUCUCAGGGAGACCAGAGUUGAUGGAGAAUAGUGACAGGGAAGAAGGGUAGAGAAGACGAAUUAGGGACAAAUUCCAGAAGGGUGUCGACGUUAGUCUGUAGAGCUUAGGAAUAUUACUACCAGUCCAUUUCAAGGGAUAUUAUUACUUCAUGUCUUCAGAAUGCAGCACCUUGUUAAUACUGUUUGCAGAAUAGUGCUUUUGUUCUGCGCUAUCAGAAUAAAGGUUAGUCUUAUACCUUUGUUCCAGUUGUGGGUUAGAGAUACUUGGAUCUUUAACCUCUGAAGAAAAGAUUCUGUUUCCUUCCAUAAUUUACUCACUGAAGCCUCCUUUAACCUUGUGAAUAACAGGAGUAGCUAAAACGUGGCUCUUGUAGAUCUACUAUAACAUGUGUAUAAGUCAUACAAUAUAUGGCUAAUAAAUCAUGCUUUGAGGAAUAAAGGGGCUAAAAUAAAUGCAUAGUUAAACGCAGUUAGAACUCAAAAAGACAAGCAGAAGUGAAAUUUGGCACGUAAUUAGAACUGAAUACACUUGGGUCAGACCAAAAGAUGAUGAACACAGACUUUUCUAAUCAAUGUGCUUAGGUCAGGGGUUUUCAGCAGCACAGACCAACACAUUUCUAGGUUAAAGAAAGAAAAAGGAACUGGUUUGAUGUCCUGUCUUGGGAAAUGAGGCAAUCUAUUCUUGCUAGAAAAGGAGCAAGAAACAGGGCAAAAGUUUACCAACAGGGGAAGAGAACAUUAAAUAUAAGAACUGGUAUCUUUGUAUUUGUUGCUUAUUCUUUUGUGCAUUGUAGUAGUAGCUUAUUAAAACUUUAUAGUCAUUUGAA